UCGACUGUCGUAUAAUGGUUAGUACCGUACGCUGUCACCGUGCAAAUCCGGGUUCGAUCCCCGGCAGUCGAG
rfam:Capsaspora owczarzaki ATCC 30864 unplaced genomic scaffold supercont2.17, whole genome shotgun sequence.